AAAGUAUCCUCUUCAAAAGUUAAAAGAAAACAGCAACAACAAGAAGAGAACAACAAUCACAACGAACUAUGUCAUCCGUGGAAUCUUCAGGAGGAUGUGCAGCAAUCUGAACAUAGUUCCAAGGACGUUAGUAGAUGUCUAGUUCUUUAUCAGCCUGACAGGAUCCAAACCUGAGGUUUCUGUCAUCAUUGCUCCAUGGCACAUACACUAUUGGCCAGCAAUCAGAUGUCUAUGUUCCUUGAGGUUGAAGGAG
rnacentral:lncRNA from 1 species